CCCUACGGGAGGCAGCAGUGGGGAAUAUUGCACAAUGGGCGAAAGCCUGAUGCAGCGACGCCGCGUGAGCGAUGAAGGCCUUCGGGUCGUAAAGCUCUGUCCUAAGGGAAGAAUAUUGACGGUACCUUAGGAGGAAGCCCCGGCUAACUACGUGCCAGCAGCCGCGGUAA
rnacentral:rRNA from 1 species